CCUACGGGUGACAGCAGUGAGGAAUAUUGGUCAAUGGGCGCGAGUCUGAACCAGCCAAGUAGCGUGAAGGAUGACUGCCCUACGGGUUGUAAACUUCUUUUAUAAAGGAAUAAAGUGCGGCACGUGUGCCUUUUUGUAUGUACUUUAUGAAUAAGGAUCGGCUAACUCCGUGCCAGCAGCCGCGGUAAUACGGAGGAUCCGAGCGUUAUCCGGAUUUAGUGGGUUUAAAGGGAGCGUAGGUGGGUUGUUAAGUCAGUUGUGAAAUGUUGCGGCUCAACCGUAAAAUUGCAUUUGAUACUGGCAGGCUUGAGAGCAGUUGAGGUAGGCGGAAUGCGUGGGGUAGCGGUGAAAUGCUUAGAUAUCACGAAGAACACCGAUUGCGAAGGCAGCUUACUAAGCUGCCACUGACAUUGAUGCUCGAAAGUGUGGGUAGCAAACAGGAUUAGAUACCCUUGUAGUC
rnacentral:rRNA from 1 species